AGCGCAGGUGGUUUACUAAGUCUGGUGCAAAAGGCAGUGGCUCAACCAUUGUAUGCAUUGGAAACUGGUAGACUUGAGUGCAGGAGAGGAGAGUGGAAUUCCAUGUGUAGCGGUGAAAUGCGUAGAUAUAUGGAGGAACACCGGUGGCGAAAGCGGCUCUCUGGCCUGUAACUGACACUGAGGCUCGAAAGCGUGGGGAGCAAACA
rnacentral:rRNA from 1 species